rnacentral:lncRNA from 1 species
UGUUGAUAAAUAAGAAAUAUUGGUUAUUGCAGAUUUUUCUCAACCCCCUCUAUUUGCCUGGUUCCCGCAUUGCAUCUUCGCAUUUUGACACCAAAGUCCGUGCUCUUGCAAGAAAAUACCUUUAGCGGUGGUCAGUCGUUUACAAUAGUCUGAGAGCUAUUGGGGUGAUGGAAUGAACUUAGAAAGUACCACCAUCCUUUUUCUUGUCUCGGCCAUUGAGUUUCAUUCAUGAUGGUAAAGAUUAGUGGCUGUGUGCAAUUUGCUUAAUGCUGCAUCGGAUGCCUCAAUGGAUGCAUAAAACACAAGCAGCAACUAAAACGCGUUGAUUAUUUUUGUGACAAUUUGUUUCACUCAAAUUCUUAAUGUUAGCAGUUGAGACACGGUGAUUAAAUGAUGUAUUCUUUUUUUCUUUUAAUAUAAAAUCUAAUCAUGCGUUUGUAUAUCUCGAUUCCAGGGUUGUCUUUCUUGAUGGUAGCCUAAUUUAUAUAUUUAUCCAAUCAAGUGAGCAUUGAGGGG